rnacentral:rRNA from 1 species
AGUGAACGCUGGCGGUAGGCCUAACACAUGCAAGUCGAACGGCAGCACAGUAAGAGCUUGCUCUUACGGGUGGCGAGUGGCGGACGGGUGAGGAAUACAUCGGAAUCUACUUUUUCGUGGGGGAUAACGUAGGGAAACUUACGCUAAUACCGCAUACGACCUACGGGUGAAAGCAGGGGAUCUUCGGACCUUGCGCGAUUGAAUGAGCCGAUGUCGGAUUAGCUAGUUGGCGGGGUAAAGGCCCACCAAGGCGACGAUCCGUAGCUGGUCUGAGAGGAUGAUCAGCCACACUGGAACUGAGACACGGUCCAGACUCCUACGGGAGGCAGCAGUGGGGAAUAUUGGACAAUGGGCGAAAGCCUGAUCCAGCCAUACCGCGUGGGUGAAGAAGGCCUCCGGGUUGUAAAGCCCUUUUGUUGGGAAAGAAAAGCAGCAGGUUAAUACCCCGCUGUUCUGACGGUACCCAAAGAAUAAGCACCGGCUAACUUCGUG